rnacentral:rRNA from 1 species
AAGCGAAGCGGUGACGUGGAGCAAACCUCAGAAAGCCAAUCUCAGUUCGGAUUGUAGGCUGCAACUCGCCUACAUGAAGUUGGAAUCGCUAGUAAUCGCGAAUCAGAAUGUCGCGGUGAAUACGUUCCCGGGUCUUGUACACACCGCCCGUCACACCAUGAGAGUUGGGAAUACCCGAAGCCUGUGAGCUAACUUUACGAGGCAGCAGUCGAAGGUAGAAUCAAUGAUUGGGGUGAAGUCGUAACAAGGUAUC